GCGGACGUGGUGGAACUGGCAUACACGUACGGCUUAGGACCGUAUCCCUUCGGGGGUGAGAGUUCAACUCUCUCCGUCCGCA
rnacentral:tRNA from 1 species